GUACACGCUGUGACUAGCAUAUCAAUAAGCGGAGGAAAAGAAACUAACAAGGAUUCCCUCAGUAACGGCGAGUGAAGCGGGAAGAGCUCAAAUUUGAAAUCUUGAAAGGUCACCUUUCACGAAUUGUAGUUUAAAGAAGUGUUUUCUGUUACGAUCGUAAUAUAAGUUCUUUGGAAUAGGACAUCAUAGAGGGUGAGAAUCCCGUAUUUGACCAUUAUUUUCAGCUUUGUGAUACACUUUCAAAGAGUCGGAUUGUUUGGGAAUGCAGUCCUAAAAUGGGAUGGUAAAUUUCAUCUAAGGCUAAAUAUUGGCGAGAGACCGAUAGCGAACAAGUACCGUGAGGGAAAGAUGAAAAGAACUUCGAAAAGAGAGUUAAACUAGUACGUGAAAUUGUCAAAAGGGAAGCGUUUAACACCAGUGUUGUUUUCUGAAAAUCAACCUCUGUUAGCUUUAUGCAUGUUUGUUUAGACCUAAUCAGCUAUCUUGCAUGUUCUAUUGUUUGCAGUGGUGCACUUUUCAGUUUACAGGUCAACAUCAGUUUUUUUUACCGUAAAAAAGUUAAAGAAAGGUAGCUCAUGGCUCCGGUCGUGAGUGUUAUAGUCUUUUUCCUAUGCGGUAGGAGAGACUGAGGUCUGCAGUGUAGGCUAUUUGGCUAGAUACUCAGGUGCUAUGUGAUACCAUUUCAUAAACAACUUGUUGAUUAUGUUUUGUCUAUUGCAUACUCGCUUGUACUAUCAUACCUACGCUUAGGAUGUUGACGCAUGAGAUAUACGC
rnacentral:rRNA from 1 species